GACGAACGCUGGCGGCGUGCUUAACACAUGCAAGUCGAACGGAAAGGCCCUGCUUUUGUGGGGUGCUCGAGUGGCGAACGGGUGAGUAACACGUGAGUAACCUGCCCUUGACUUUGGGAUAACUUCAGGAAACUGGGGCUACUACCGGAUAGGAGCUCCUGCUGCAUGGUGGGGGUUGGAAAGUUUCGGCGGUAGGGGAUGGACUCGCGGCUUAUCAGCUUGUUGGUGGGGUAGUGGCUUACCAAGGCUUUGACGGGUAGCCGGCCUGAGAGGGUGACCGGCCACCAUGGGACUGAGAUACGGCCCAGACGCCUACGGGAGGCAGCAGGGGGGAAUAUUGCACAAUGGGCGGAAGCCUGAUGCAGCAACGCCGCGUGCGUGAUGACGGCCUUCGGGUUGUAAACCGCUUUCGCCUGUGACGAAGCGUGAGUGACGGUAAUGGGUAAAGAAGCACCGGCUAACUACGUG
rnacentral:rRNA from 1 species